rnacentral:rRNA from 1 species
UACGUAGGGCGCAAGCGUUAUCCGGAAUUAUUGGGCGUAAAGAGCUCGUAGGCGGUUUGUCGCGUCUGCCGUGAAAGUCCGGGGCUCAACCUCGGACUUGCAGUGGGUACGGGCAGACUAGAGUGUGGUAGGGGAGACUGGAAUUCCUGGUGUAGCGGUGGAAUGCGCAGAUAUCGGAAGGAACACCAGUGGCGAAGGCGGCUACCUGGACAAAUACUGACGCUGAGGCGCGAAAGCGUGGGGAUCAAACAGG